rnacentral:rRNA from 1 species
GACGAACGCUGGCGGCGCGCUUAACACAUGCAAGUCGAGCGAGAACCGGGGCUUCGGCCCCGGGGACAGCGGCGAACGGGUGAGUAACACGUGAGUAACCUGCCCUCGGCACCGGAAUAGCCCGGGGAAACUCGGAUUAAUGCCGGAUAGCCCCUCUGCCCUGCGGGGCGGCGGGAAAAGGUAGCUUCGGCCUCUGGCCGAGGAUGGGCUCGCGGCGGAUUAGCUUGUUGGCGGGGUAACGGCCCACCAAGGCGACGAUCCGUAGCUGGUCUGAGAGGACGAUCAGCCACACUGGGACUGAGACACGGCCCAGACUCCUACGGGAGGCAGCAGUGGGGAAUCUUGCGCAAUGGGCGAAAGCCUGACGCAGCGACGCCGCGUGCGGGAAGAAGGCCUUCGGGAUGUAAACCGCUUUCAGGAGGGACGAAGCCACUCGGGUGAACAGCCCAGAGGGUGACGGUACCUCCAGAAGAAGCCCCGGCUAACUACGUGCCAGCAGCCGCAGUAAGAC